rnacentral:rRNA from 1 species
CGACUACGACCGAGUAAACCGUGAUAGAGAUUAACCUCCAUGUUACGUGGAGUUGGAUCACGACUCGUUAGGGUAUACGUUUAACGAUUGUUCCAGUAAGGAAACGUAAACGGAGGGACACUAUGAAGUUGACUCCAGACAUAUAAGUACCAUUACGUCUCGCUUAACUUUAUCGUUUCGUCGAACUCACUCCAAUGGUCACUCCAGUCGAAAGAAAGAGAAAAGUGCGGUGGAGGAUUAACGACGUCGAUAAACAAUAAAUAGUCACAACAAUUUUAGUACAGCCAAAUCAAUAGUAAAAAAUAUACAAUAAUGACAUAAAAAAGAGAGCUAAAUAUAAAGAGAUGAACUGGAAGGAAAAGGUAACGAACGAAAACUCUGAGAAGAAUAAGAACAGUUUACAUGUACAGGUUUUGCAGUAGAGUUGCCCAACAGAACAUUUUGUUCCACCAGUACCUCGUUGUCGUCAUACCGAAACUGUACUAACAUAUGAAAUAUUAGUAUAAACAUUAAAUACGUUAGACAAACAAUAAUCGACGCUACGAGACACAUCAGAGAGACUACUUCUACGAUCUUUAUAAAAGGAACUACCCUGUGGCUACUGAAGGGCUAAUUCUAUCCUGACGUAGUCCCCAGUCGAAACUCGGGAAUAGAAAAACGUAACCACUACCUACUCCAGUGUUCCCCAUAUGUUCCUCUAUAGGGUACCACAUACGAGAAACGCCUACUACACCACGAUCAACUGCUAUCAGCCUGCCCCCAUUUAUCCUUCAAUCUCAAUACCUCUGUUUGGAACCUUAGCUUUCCCAAAUCCGAAUCAUCUUGAUUUUGGCUCAUGUACUACACGCCAAAGUCAUGAUGAUCGACACUCCUCCUCCAAUCGGAACUACCGGUCCACCAUGGAGCCUUCCUGUGGAAAGCCAUAAACCCAGUUACAACGUCCUCCUACCCCCAUAACUACUUCUACACUUGGUAGCUUAGUUUCGGCCUACCUACUUCACCGCGGUUCGAAGACCGUAAGAGACACUGUUCUCUCACGGUGUUUUCGAUUUUCCGUUCAAGAUGUCCUGCCGCCAAGCUGGGCGUUACAACAUACCGCGCCUCACAACCGGCUGAUUUUCCGCUGUACAAGUUGUCAAUCCACACCGCCUCUACGCAUACAACUCUACCUACACACCGGUGUGCUCCUUCCUAGCUCAGGCCUUACUACUAUAUGCUCUAUCUCAACCCCAUCGUGGUUAACUCCUCUUCGAACAGGUUGUAGCAAACUCUACCAAACCCGUAUAAGUCGCGUCCGGAGGUCUUCGAGGUCACGUAUCGCCUGCCGAUUUCGCACGCCUCUUACAGUUCUCUCCCGCCCCAGCUGGCUAAAACUGUACCCUCCUCAGGCAAUUCUCUCUGGACAUCCUAACCUCAUAGCUGUUUCUCGAUCGAUACCUGUCCCCACGCACCUUCGAACGAUAGGUACACGGUCUCGGUACUCAACCAACGCUCUAGAAUACCCAAAGUGGAGAUCGGAUGGGGUUGAACGAACCCUGAUUUCCGAAACAACAACAACAACAACAACAACAACGACGGUGUAAUUUUGAUCCAUGUUUCCUUUAAACGAAUGUCGUCAACCACAGCUAGGGUUACUGACGUAUAAGGGGUAACGUAAACCAGAAACACUUCAUCUUAGCUGUUCAUCAACCCUCACCAAGAACCGAAGUAACUUCCUACUGGACUUGUAAAGGUUGAGUAGUAGAAUGUGUGAUUACUCACUGUUCGUUUUCCCAAACUAACGACGUCACGUCUUUCACAAGGGAGUAAGACUCGUGUCUGUAACACACUCCGUGUAUAUAGUCUUAAAGGUGUUUCAUGUAUUCCCACUUUGUAACUUCUUACUAAAUACCCGUUAUCGUUCUAGAUGUUUGUUUUAACGAAUGGUGUUUUUGUACCUGGUUUAUUUCCUUGUGUCAAAUCUACGAAUGUUCACCCAACUCUUCAACAGAGGUUCUUGUACCUAUUUCCGAAAGAAAUUGGGAAAGACGUUUACACUGUAGGAGGAGUUGUUAUACAGACUCCACAAGUUGUCGAUAUAAGACCUACCUUCUCUAGACGGUUAUUUCAGGUACAAUCUAAUAUAAAAGGUAUUUGAUCGUUUGUCCUAUCAACCGUUUGUUUCCCUUAGACUCUUCACCUGACCGGCCGACACGGGGUUUUAAGUCUUCUUUGAUCUGUUUAUAUAUCUUACCCGUUUCUUGACGUACCAAUGACUCAUACCCUUUCCACAAAAGGUCCAAAACAGAGAUUUAUUAUGUAUACAACACCUAAACUUGUACUUGUCAACACUGACGUUGUCUACCCUUGAGAGUCGGUAGGGUACGGUAGUACGGUAACGUACAAAGUCUGUACUUUCCUAACUCGGUCUCUCGUACCACGUACUGACAAUAUCACAACUCUUGAUGUUCUCAACGAUACCGACCUUGGAAUACGGAUACUCCCUGUACUUCGUAACCCUCUUUUACUUACCGUAUCUACACAUAGGUGGAUAAAUGUGUUUUCAGUACUCUUCCGGUUUCUUUUCAUCCUUCUUUCUCGGUCUUCUCUUUUUCCCAUUCCUACCAGACUUCUUUCAUUGUUUUGUACCACAGUGAUACGUAACAAGAUAUACACCUCGACGACUAGUGUUAUUUUUUCCAGUGGUGUUGGUACACUUACUACUUCGUUUUGGUUCUCCUCGUCUCCUUAGUCUUCUUCUCAUACUACUGGGUUCGUAGUAACGAUUGUAAUACGGUGUAUCUCAUUUAGGGUACGACCUAGGUUGUGUUUCAUUUCUAAGGUACCACAAGUACUACGUCCUUUCCCUCUCCAAAUCCAGUGGUUGUUAAUCUCUAAUACCAGGUGAUGGACUUAGUUCGAAAUAACGAUUACGAUCCCUGAGUUAGGGUCAUUCAUCUCACUGAUGUCGUUACUGUUCACCUUCCCACUCUUCUCGUCUUCCACAACGUCGACUUAGACUUGUUCCUCGACGUGGUUCUGGGUCCUUCUUCGUCCGUUCUCCUCCCAGUUAACGACGUUCCCCUCCCUCUUGUGGACGACGUUCUCCUCCCCGUUUACCACGUUCCCCUCCCACU